AACCAGCACCUCAAGUGGUCAGGACGAUUAUUGGGCCUAAAGCAUCCGUAGCCGGCGCUAUAAGUUUUCGGUUAAAUCUGUACGCUCAACGUACAGGCUGCCGGGAAUACUGUAGCGCUAGGGAGUGGGAGAGGUAGACGGUACUCGGUAGGAAGGGGUAAAAUCCUUUGAUCUAUUGAUGACCACCUGUGGCGAAGGCGGUCUACCAGAACACGUCCGACGGUGAGGGAUGAAAGCUGGGGGAGCAAACCGGAUUAGAUACCCGGGUAGUCCCAGCUGUAAACUAUGCAAACUCAGUGAUGCAUUGGCUUGUGGCCAAUGCAGUGCUGCAGGGAAGCCGUUAAGUUUGCCGCCUGGGAAGUACGUACGCAAGUAUGAAACUUAAAGGAAUUGGCGGGGAGCACCACAAGGGUGAAGCCUGCGGUUC
rnacentral:rRNA from 1 species